CUGGAAGGGCGGAGGAUCGCUUUCGUUUUAAUACGAGAGAGGAAAGUCCGAACACCAUAGGACGCGAUGCCGUGUAACCCUGAUUUAGUUGGGGAUACAUGCGGGCAGUUCAUUCGAGAGGAUGGCUGACGGAAAGUGCCACAGAGAAUAUACCGCCACAGGUUCGCCUGCGGUAAGGGUGAAAAGGUGGGGUAAGAGCCCACCGCGCCAAACGUGAGUGAGGCGGCACGGUAAACCCCAUCGGGUGCAAGGCCAAAUAGGGGGCCAGGGACGGUCCGUCCUGCGAUCGGAAACGGUCACGGCUCCGGGUAGGGUCGCAAUAGAUAAAUGAUCCUCUCCACCGCUCGCGGUGAAGACAAAAUUCGGCUUACAGCCCUUCCAGGAUU
rnacentral:RNase_P_RNA from 1 species